UUAUAGCAGAACAGUUGAUGAAGGAGUCAAAAUAGAUGCUGUAAAAUAAGAGUAAAUUCUUACCUGCAUUUUCCAUUGGGGUUUUCCUGACAGACUUUGAUAAACUGUGUAAUGCAGCGCAACUUCUAUAACUGGGGCCACCUCGACAGCAAGAACCAAUCAAAUUCUAGAAUGAAACAAUACAUUCCGACUUAAGUGCUGACUUGAUUCCGUCAACUUGGCUUGACAUGUGAGCAGGCGGCAGUGCCUACAAGAUGUCACACAUUGGUCCAAAGAAACUUUUACCGCGUUUGCGGUGAUACACAUUUAGAAAAACUAAGCAAGAGCAAAAACAUGGAAGUAGCCAAGCAAGAAUGAGUAACGAAACAGAUAGCUGUUGGUAAUCACGUCAAGCUGUUUAGCAAUAACUUCAAGACUAUUUAAGUUUCGAUGAUGAAUAGUGAGGAGUGCUAUGCAGGGGAGACCAUGUACCUGAGAAGUGAAUUCACUUUGGGAGAAGUGAAAUCUACGCGGCAAAAGCUCAGCUUACAUUUGGUCCCCGAUGUUUGAGUUCAGUAAGCCCCAUGAUACUAUUUUAAAACAGCUUUGAGAGUUCAACGUUUGACUACGUAAAAUAAGGCAAGCUGGUUUAUACUAUGUUUUUAAUGUAACGAAAAACGAAAAACUACAUUAAGUUUUACCCAAGUUUGUAAGUUUCAUUACCUUGUAGUUAAGGGCCCAAAACGUCGUUCCUUCAGCCAAAAAAAAAAAAAAGUUGGGA